GGCGGCAGGCCUAACACAUGCAAGUCGGGCGGAAACGAUGGAAGCUUGCUUCCAGGCGUCGAGCGGCGGACGGGUGAGUAACGCGUAGGAAUCUACCUGAUAGUGGGGGAUAGCCCGAGGAAACUCGGAUUAAUACCGCAUACGUCUUAAGAGAGAAAGCAGGGGAUCUUCGGACCUUGCGCUAUCAGAUGAGCCUGCGUUGGAUUAGCUAGUUGGUGAGGUAAAGGCUCACCAAGGCGACGAUCCAUAGCUGGUCUGAGAGGAUGAUCAGCCACACUGGGACUGAGACACGGCCCAGACUCCUACGGGAGGCAGCAGUGGGGAAUAUUGGACAAUGGGGGCAACCCUGAUCCAGCCAUGCCGCGUGUGU
rnacentral:rRNA from 1 species